rnacentral:rRNA from 1 species
AGUCACUGACAUUAGAUACCCGUGUAGUCCCAGCCGUAACUAUGCGCGUUAGGUGUACUGGUGACCACGAGUCACCGGGUGCCGAAGGGAAGCUGUUAAGUCCACCGCCUGGGAAGUACGGUCGCAAGACUGAAACUUAAAGGAAUUGGCGGGGAGCACCACAACGCGUGGAGCCUGCGGUUUAAUUUGGAUUCAACGCCGGACAUCUCACCAGGGCGACAGCAGAAUGAUGGCCAGGUUGAUGACCUUGCUUGACAAGCUG